AGCAGCCGCGGUAAUUCCAGCUCCUUUAGCGUAUAUUAAAGUUGUUGCAGUUAAAAAGCUCGUAGUUGAAUUUCGGGAUCAGCAGGUUGGUCGUGCCUCUGGUACGCACUGGUUUCGCUGAUUCCUCCUUUCUGAAGAACUGUAAUGUCAUUAAUUUGGUGUUGCAGGGAAACAGGACUGUUACUUUGAAAAAAUUAGAGUGUUUAAAGCAGGCUAACGCUUGAAUACAUUAGCAUGGAAUAAUGAAAUAGGACGUUUGAUCCUAUUUUGUUGGUUUCUAGGAUUGACGUAAUGAUUAAUAGGGAUAGUUGGGGGCAUUAGUAUUCAAUUGUCAGAGGUGAAAUUCUUGGAUUUAUUGAAGACUAACUACUGCGAAAGCAUUUGCCAAGGAUGUUUUCAUUAAUCAAGAACGAAAGUUAGGGGAUCGAAGACGAUCAGAUACCGUCGUAGUCUUAACCAUAAACUAUGCCGACUAGGGAUCGGAUGAUGUUAAUUUUUUAAUGACUCA
rnacentral:rRNA from 1 species